rnacentral:tRNA from 2 species
GCAUCGGUGGUCUAGUGGUAGAAUACUCGCCUGCCACGCGGGUGACCCGGGUUCGAUUCCCGGCCGAUGCA